CAACUUAUUGCAACGACUAUAAAGCACAUACAAUGCUUACCAAGUGAAGAAUAGAGAUGAUAAAGUCAAGGAGAUUUUGCAACAUUUAUGAACUUACAAGCCAUUUCGUCCAUGCCUAAAGGUUUCAUAGUCCUUGAAAUUCACCCUUUGACAUGUUUCUUUCUUUUUUAAAAUGUCCAUAUGAGAAGUACAUAUGUUCUUGAAAUCAUUUACAUAUAAGUGUUAUGAGCAAUAAGGCAAUAAUAAAGUCAAACUUCAAAACUCAAAGCAUCCAUCCAGGGAUGAACCCAUUCACUUGCUGGGCAUGAGUUGUGGCAGUCAUCUGGUCAGAGUUGUACCCUAUUUGCAAUGUCGGAUUGCAUUCUAAUGGCUGGAAUAACUCCUGAGAGUGAGGGUGCUGCUGCCCAUAUGACAUGCUUUGCUCACCACCUUCCCAUGAUGAUCGAAGGUUAUUGCUUGCACUGAUCUCAUCCAGCUGCCAAGCAAGCAUCAAAGUUUCAAGAAACAUGGAUGAAUUCCUCAAGGGAAAUCGAUGAUUUGAUAUUCUGAUUAACAGCAUAACAGAAGCAGGGCAUUUUAUUGCAUUCCGGAACUGAUAUGCGAAAGUAAAUAUGGACGAGCAAAGCAUGUACAACUGUUAGCUUAAUUUCUUACCUUUAUUGCCAAAGCUCUGUUAGAUUCAAGCAACAACUGUUCCUGUACUCAAAACAGUCGUCAGUUAGCACCGGCAACAACAUAAGGGUGAAUUAUGUUCAUUAUAAUACUCCCAUUUGCGAAUACCUUGUUUUGAAGAUCAGAAAGCUGGUCAAGCAUAAACUGGGUCUGCAAAGCAUUUCAGAUCAACAACAUCAAACAAUCUGUGAAAGAAAUACACUGGUCUCUCCUAGAAGUAUAUGGGAACUUGAGAAAUGAUAUGAAAACGUGAACAUGUUGCCUAACAAUUGAUCCAAAGAGAGAAAGGCGUAUACACAUUUUCAGCUAUAUAUCAAUAUUCAAUAUAGAAAGAUACAAUUAUUUGAAAAGAAAAUAAAGAGAAGUCAAUAAAAACAGGAAAACAUAAUCAAAAUAAAUAAAUAACACAAGCAUUAGUUUAUUGUUAGAACAAGCCCCUCUCCUCCCCAAUAUUGGCUCACAUAAAUGCCUAUAUGCUUCCCCGCAUUCUAACAUCACAGAUUGUUAAUCUGUGUUUCAUUGACUCAAAAGAGAUUAUCUGGAUUGUGCAGUGUUUUCACAAAAAUUUAGGUAUUCUAGUGAUUGUAAAAG
rnacentral:misc_RNA from 1 species